rnacentral:rRNA from 1 species
UGGUCAUAUGCUUGUUUCAAAGCCUAAGCCAUGCAUGUCUAAGCACAGCUUGUAAAAGUGAAGCCGCGAAUAGCUCAUUACAACAGCCGUUGUUUAUUGGAUCUCCAUUCUCUACUUGAAUAACUGUGGUAUUUCUAGAGCUAAUACAUGCGACCAAGUCCUGAACUUACGUGACGGAUGCAUUUAUAAGAACAAGACCAACCGGCUUCGGCCGUUCUCUGGUGACUCUGAAUAACUGAGUGAAUCACAUGGUCUAGUACCGGUGAUGUAUCUUUCAAGUGUCUGCCUUAUCAACUUUCGAUGGUAGUUUAUGUGCCUACCAUGGUUGUAACGGGUAACGGAGGAUAAGGGUUUGACUCCGGAGAGGGAGCCUGAGAAACGGCUACCACUUCUAAGGAAGGCAGCAGGCGCGCAAAUUACCCAUUCUCGGCACGAGGAGGUAGUGACGAAAAAUACCAAGCUGGUGCCCAUUGGGUACCGGCAUUGGAAUGAGAACAAUCUAAAUCUUUUAACGAGGAUCUAGU